rnacentral:rRNA from 1 species
AGUGAACGUUGGCGGCGUGGAUUAGGCAUGCGAGUCGAGCGAGAACCGUAGCAAUACGGGGACAGCGGCGAAAGGGACAGUAAUAUGUAGGUACCUACCCUCGGGUCCGGGAUAGCUGCGGGAAACUGCAGGUAAUACCGGAUGACAUCUCCGGAUCAAAGGUGUGAUUCCGCCCGGGGAGGGGCCUGCAUCCUAUUAGCUUGUUGGUGGGGUAACGGCCUACCAAGGCGACGUUGGGUAGCGGGUGUGAGAGCAUGACCCGCGUCAUUGGGACUGAGACACUGCCCAGACGCCUACGGGUGGCUGCAGUCGAGAAUCUUCGGCGAUGGGGGCAACCCUGACCGAGCGACGCCGCGUGCGGGAUGAAGGCCUUCGGGUUGUAAACCGCUGUCGUAGAGGAGGAAAUGCAGGGGGGUUCUCCCCUCUGUUUGACCUAUUCUAGGAGGAAGGACGGGCUAAGUUCGUGCCAGCCGCCGCAGUAA